GGCGACCGCUUUGGGAGUUCGAUUAAGCCAUGCGAGUCGUGAGUCUUAGGGACUCGGCAUACUGCUCAGUAACACGUGGAUAACCUGCCCUAUCGUCUGGAAUAACCUCGGGAAACUGAGAAUAAGGCCGGAUAGUUCACAAUGCCUGGAACGGUUUGUGAAUCAAGGUAGGAUGGGUCUGCAGCGUAUCAGGUUGUAGGGGGUGUAAAGGACCCCCUAGCCUUCGACGCGUACGGGUGUUGGGAGACAUAGCCCGGAGAUGGAUUCUGAGACACGAAUCCAGACCCUACGGGGUGCAGCAGGCGCGAAAACUUCACACUGCAGGAAACUGUGAUGAGGGAACUCCUAGUGCAUGCACUAUGUGUAUGUAGAUCCUACUCUUAACAAGUAGAGGGAAAGGGCUGGGAAAGACCGGUGCCAGCCGCCGCGGUAAUACCGGCAGCUCAAGUGGUCGUCGCUUUUAUUGGGCCUAAAACGUCCGUAGCCUGUUUGGUAAAUCUGUGGGUAAAUCAAUCCGCUCAACGGAUUGGAUUCUGCAGAGACUGCCAGACUAGGGACCGGGAGAGGUGUGGGGUACUCGAGGGGUAGGGGUAAAAUCCUGUCAUCCUUAGAGGACCACCAGUUGCGGAGGCGCCACACUGGAACGGAUCCGACGGUCAGGGACGAAGCCUAGGGGCACGAACCGGAUUAGAUACCCGGGUAGUCCUAGGUGUAAACGCUGUGAACUUGGUGUCGGGGAUCCGUAAUGGGUUCUCGGUGCCGGAGUGAAGAUGUUAAGUUCACUGCCUGGGGAGUACGGUCGCAAGGCUGAAACUUAAAGGAAUUGGCGGGGGAGCACUGCAACGGGAGGAGCGUGCGGUUU
rnacentral:rRNA from 1 species